GGAUGGUCGCGCGGAUCUUCAGAGAUUAGAGUUUGAUCAUGGCUCAGGAUGAACGCUAGCGGUGUGCCUAAUGCAUGCAAGUCGAACGGGAUCCUUGGAUUCGUCUGAGGUGAGAGUGGCGAACGGGUGAGUAACACGUAGGUGACCUGCCCCGGAGAGGGGGACAACCACUGGAAACGGUGGCUAAUACCCCAGAUGUCUUUGCGCUUAGAAAGCAAUGACUAAAGUUCCGGCGCUCCGGGAGGGGCCUGCGGCCCAUCAGCUUGUUGGUAAGGUAAUGGCUUACCAAGGCAAAGACGGGUAGGGGGCGUGAGAGCGUGACCCCCCACACUGGUACUGAGACACGGACCAGAUACCUGCGGGUAGCAGCAGCAAGGAAUAUUGCCCAAUGGACGAAAGUCUGAGGCAGCAACGCCGCGUGGAGGAUGAAGGCCUUCGGGUUGUAAACUCCUUUUCUGGGGGAAGAGAAAGGACGGUACCCCAGGAAUAAGUCUCGGCUAACUACGUGCCAGCAGCCGCGGUAAAACGUAGGAGGCGAGCGUUAUCCGGAUUUACUGGGCGUAAAGCGCAUGCAGGCGGUUUUUUAAGUCGGACGUGAAAGCUCCCGGCCCAACUGGGAGAGGCCGUUCGAAACUGGAAAACUUGAGGAUGGUAGAGGAGAGUGGAAUUCCCGGUGUAGUGGUGAAAUGCGUAGAUAUCGGGAGGAACACCAGUGGCGAAGGCGGCUCUCUGGGCCAUUCCUGACGCUCAGAUGCGAAAGCUAGGGGAGAGAACGGGAUUAGAAACCCCGGUAUUCCUAGCCGUAAACGAUGUCAACUAGGCGUAGGAGGUUAUUGACCCCUUCUGUGCUGUAGCUAACGCAUUAAGUUGACCGCCUGGGGACUACGGCCGCAAGGCUAAAACUCAAAGGAAUUGACGGGGACCCGCACAAGCAGCGGAGCGUGUGGUUUAAUUCGAGGCUACGCGAAGAACCUUACCAGGGCUUGACAUAUAGCUGGUAGUGAGUCGAAAGAUGAACGACCCUUCGGGGAGGCUAUACAGGUGCUGCAUGGCUGUCGUCAGCUCGUGCCGUGAGGUGUUU
rnacentral:rRNA from 1 species